CCAGGAGUCAGGGCUGUGCGCGCCCGAGAGCUGGAGCCCUGGAGAAUUCCUGUGCGGGCACAGUGGGGCGAGGGAGGCCCCGGACCCUCCCGGCCCCGCGCUCAGGUUUUCACCAAGAGCCUGAGGAGGGAUUUUCCCAAGGAGUUCCAUGUCUGAAGCUCAUCAUCAGGACAGGGCAGGCCCUGAAGAGUGAAAGAUGAUCAAAUGCCGGUAUGAUGAGAUGACACGAGGGGAACGAUGUCGCCUUCAUCAGGCUACUGUCGACCUUCUGACAUGUCGGAGGAUCAUCUGCUUCGGGACCGAGGCUGACCCUGGCUCACGGAAACCACAGCAAAAGUAAAUAGUGGGACCAUAUCAAACUACAGAGCUUCUGCACAGCAAAGGAAAUCAUCAACAAAAUGAAAAAAAUGAAAAAGCAACCUGCUGAGUGGGUGAAAAUAUAUGUAAAUCAUGUAACUGAUAACUGA